rnacentral:rRNA from 3 species
ACCCUUUAAUGUUUGAUGUUCUAACGUGGACCCGUAAUCCGGGUUGCGGACAGUGUCUGGUGGGUAGUUUGACUGGGGCGGUCUCCUCCUAAAGAGUAACGGAGGAGCACGAAGGUUGGCUAAUCCUGGUCGGACAUCAGGAGGUUAGUGCAAUGGCAUAAGCCAGCUUGACUGCGAGCGUGACGGCGCGAGCAGGUGCGAAAGCAGGUCAUAGUGAUCCGGUGGUUCUGAAUGGAAGGGCCAUCGCUCAACGGAUAAAAGGUACUCCGGGGAUAACAGGCUGAUACCGCCCAAGAGUUCAUAUCGACGGCGGUGUUUGGCACCUCGAUGUCGGCUCAUCACAUCCUGGGGCUGAAGUAGGUCCCAAGGGUAUGGCUGUUCGCCAUUUAAAGUGGUACGCGAGCUGGGUUUAGAACGUCGUGAGACAGUUCGGUCCCUAUCUGCCGUGGGCGCUGGAGAACUGAGGGGGGCUGCUCCUAGUACGAGAGGACCGGAGUGGACGCAUCACUGGUGUUCGGGUUGUCAUGCCAAUGGCACUGCCCGGUAGCUAAAUGCGGAAGAGAUAAGUGCUGAAAGCAUCUAAGCACGAAACUUGCCCCGAGAUGAGUUCUCCCUGAGACUUUAGGUCUCCUGAAGGAACGUUGAAGACGACGACGUUGAUAGGCCGGGUGUGUAAGCGCAGCGAUGCGUUGAGCUAACCGGUACUAAUGAACCGUGAGGCUUAACCUU